UACGUAGGGUGCAAGCGUUGUCCGGAAUUACUGGGCGUAAAGGGCGCGUAGGCGGUACUUCAAGUCAGGCGUGAAAGCCCCGGGCUCAACCUGGGAACCGCGCUUGAGACUGGAGAACUAGAGUUCGGGAGAGGAUGGUGGAAUUCCCAGUGUAGAGGUGAAAUUCGUAGAUAUUGGGAAGAACACCGAUGGCGAAGGCAGCCAUCUGGACCGACACUGACGCUGAGGCGCGAAAGCGUGGGGAGCAAACAGG
rnacentral:rRNA from 1 species